UGCCUUGCUAACCACAUUGAGGGAUGUGGAAUUUGGACUUUCAUUGGCUGCUAUUUCACGAUGGACACGUUGACUUACUGGAUCCCACGUUCUUGCGGCAAAACUAUCAGAUGUCAGUUCUUGGUGUUGCAGCCUCCCGGUAAUCACCAGAGAUGCGCCUUCAUCGCCGGGCUGCUUAGGGAAGCCCUGGCUGGAACACAACCCCUGUCACUGAGGACCUACUGGGUGUCGGGUGAUGUUCCAAGGGCUGUUUCAUUUAAUCCUUACAAACCACCUCUGAGGUAGUGGUUAUUAUCACCCCAUUUUACAGCCGAAUAAAUGGAGUCAGAGAGGUUAAGGAGGUUACAUGAAGAUCCUUCCUGUCGAGGAACCCAGCAGCCAUGCAGUAAGGAAGUCCAAGCUAUCACUCGGGAGAGCGGUGAGAGAGGCCUCCUUGGACAACCCAGCUUUGGAGAAGCUCCCAGAUGAAUGAAGCCACAUCAGUGACCCUAGCUGACAUCACACGAGGCAGAGGAACUGCUGAAUCAACCCACAGAAU